UUUUUAUGCAGUUUUUAUCAAAAAAAUUGCUGACUAUGCCCUUGUAUUUUGCAUCUGUAUCCAGUGCGUAGCAAAAAGAUAGUUUCUAGUUUAUGUAAAGUUAGUUGUCCCAUCUGAAUUACACUGUCAUAAAGAUAGUUUCUAGGUUAAAUUAUGUUCGAGGAGUACUUUGUUUUUUUUUCUCUGCCUUUACUAUGUAUUACGUUUUAUCUUCCAACGGCAACAAAUUUACUCAUACAAUGACUAUACAUUUGCAGCACAUUACGAUGCUUACCAGAGUUUUUCAAUUUGCAAUCUCUGCAGGGUUAAUGCUCAGCAGCCAAAACUCCCCCUCAGCAUGAUUGCCAUGGUUAUGCCUGGAUCCGCGGUGCUCGUCGACAUGAUUAUCCUUUCUAAGAACAACCAACUCUGUUACCUGGUCUUAAAAUUUUGCUUUGUUGCUUCAUCCGAUUAUCUUAGGUGUUGUUUUUCAGUGUGUGGUAGCUUUAUAUAUGGCUGUAAGUGAUGCACUCGUAGAUAACUCCUGAAUGGUUCCCGGGCCAUUCAGGCAUUCAGCUAUCAAAGUUAAUGCACUAAACCUGUGUCAGUCAUGCACUCCAAAGCUAAUGACAAGUUAAGCCUAUGGUUUCAAUUGCUUGUCGCUGUUUCAUUUUGACGAGGCACUGUGUGUUUUCACAAAAAAUAGAUUGUGCAGCAGUAGAUGUUCACUCUGCAGCUCAUUACUUAUAUAUAUAUGAACAAAAUUAGAUUUCUGAUUUGCUCACCCUCUGAACUUGAGAGUUGCUUUCGGUUCCCUCUGUUUCUUCAACUACUGCAAUCGAGCCGAUGGAUCACAAGUCUCGGUCUUACAAUCAGAAAUCAAUCAGAUGUGCCUUCCCGUCUCCGAUGGCCGGCUAGUCCUCCCUCCUUCUGUCCUUGAUCCUCCGGCCUCUCCCUUGUCUGCUCUCCUUUUUCAGCCACCGGCCGCAACAAUCAUGAAGUCUAACUAGAUUCAUUUACAGGCAUGAACCAAACAAAACAAGGAUUUAUCCAUUACGUCCCGAUACCAGCGUGAUCUAAUUCCUUUACCAUUGACGUUACCACUCUCUAAUCCAAACACCUCCUUAAUGGUAUCCUCCAACACAAUUGCAACUAUUCGACUUGAAGGAGCACAGCGAGUAAGGCCCGACUCAAUCAGGCUAUCAAGUUCAUGGCGCCAGUACCAGCUUCAGUUUCAGACGCUAGCUCCUGCAUUCCAACAAGUACUCCACCAGUUAAUAUUGUACGUACUUCUUAGGAAAUGCGUGACUGAGCAGAAAGCCAGUUAUACCAAGCAUUACCAAUCUAUUAGUCCGUUGCCUUUUUUAUCGCGAUCGUCUUCCUCAGCAGUUGUCAGCCUCUCUCUUAGAUCGACUGGGUCUGCCAAGUAUUAACACCCUUUAGUAUCACCCAAAUAAGUAUUAGUAUUAACAUUCAUUUAUUCACCUUUUAUGUAUAAUGUCCUCUUAACAGUCAAAACAUUUAAAAAUGCGAGGGAAGGGCUAGUGCAGAUUGGAAAUCAAGAGCCUAAACUCAGACUAACAUUUUUGAAUGAGAUCCUGGAGUUCUUAGCGAAGACCUAUAACCGUAAAAAUGAACAUGUACAGGCAACCCACCGUGCAAGUAAAAUCAUGCAACUGUUAUAGGCCUAAAACAGGUAGAAGAAAGAAAGCAGCCAACAAAUGCAAGAGGCAGAAAAGGAUAUCCACCACAGUUUCGAAAUAGCUUGCCGAAGCAACCAAGUGGUAUGAGGACAGGAGAAAUCAAUAUGGGUAGAAGAACACUAUUAUCGGUAAUGGAAUUUCUCUGACAAACAAUUUCAGGUAUCAAUAUGUGUAGACGUAGCUCAUGCUUACGAAAACGGUUGAGUGUUCAGUUAAUUUACCUGCAUUUGUGGCAGAUAUGAUCCAAGGGAUUUUCAUUUUAGCAGGCUGUGAGACUGAAUCACCUGUGAAGAGUUUGACAGUUAGAUAUUAUGCAUAUAGCCCGUUGAUUAGUUCCUUAUGUUCUCUAUGAUGAAUGAAUGCAGCUGUUCAACGAAUUUAAAAAAUACUUAACCUGAAUUUGCAACUGAUGGGUUCCAAUGAAGAUAAUUAGGCAAACCUGUGAAAGUUGGAGCACCUGAAAGGAGUUUUGCAGUUAAAACAGAUAGUAGGUAGCCAAAGCCAAGGACUCAGUGUUCAACUAUUUACCUGCACUUGUCACUGAUGAAGUCUCAAUGUUUUUAGUUGAACCUGUCGUAUGAAGCAUUAUCUGCGAAGAUGGAGUGCUAAAAGCACCUGCCCAACAAGCCCACAAAAAUGAGCAUGUGCAUGUAACCAACUAGGUGUAUUAUAUGAUUUGUGGUGUGUAUGCUUAUCAGCUUCCAGAUGCCAGUGCAAUCCUGCAACUAUUGUGGGUAUAAAACAAGUAGAAAAAAGAAAGCAGCUGAUAAAUGCAAGAGGGGGAAAAUUCCUCGGUUUUGGGAAAUAGUUUGCCAUAGAAACCUAGAGGUAUGACGAGAACAGAUAUAUAUAUCAACCUGCUGAAUUAUAAAACAUGGCAGGCAGAAUAUUACUAUCGGUGAUGGAGUUUCUCUGCCAGGUGACAACUAAGAAUUUCAGGUAUCAAUAUGCGCAGAUGGACUUUCUAUAUGGUAUGAAAACGGUUGAGAGUGUUCAGUUCAUUUACCUGCAUUUGUGGAAGAUAUGAUCCAAGGGAUUUUAGCAGGCCGUGAGACUGAAUCACCUGUGAAAUGUUAAAAUGAUGAUUAUAGCCCCUUCAUUAGUUUAUUUGGUGUUCUCUAACAAUGAACCAUACUAGGGAUCAUCAAUCUUAAAAGAUGUAGAUUUGUCUAGGUUUGAAAACGAAUGCAGGUGUUCAACGAAUUUAAAAUACUUAAUCCGAAUUUGCAACUGAUGGGUAGUAACAGAGAUAAUUAGGCAGACCUGUGAAAGUUGGAGCACCUGAAAAGAGUUUUGCAGUUAUUAGAACUGGUGGCAGGUAGCCAAAGCCAAGCACUCAGUGUUCAACUAAUUUACCUGUAUUUGUCACGAAUGAAGUUUCACUGUUUUUAGUAGGACCUGUCGUACCGAACAUGGUCUGUGAGAAUGGAGUACUAAAAGCACCUGCAGCCAGUUUGGUAGUUAGAACAUAGAAGAGGCAUCAGGUACCCAGGCAAAAAUACAAUAGGUGACGUUAAGUUAAAAUGGCAACAGAAAACUUCAACGGGAAGAUGUUUCUAGUGUAGAUCUUUUACACAUAACAUGCCAUCAAUCAAUGGCAUACUAUUGUUAACGGUGCAUUUGUGCAUUUCUGAAAACGUACAUUUUCCUAGAUUAUUCGAGUUGAGCAGUUAGAAAUGACAGCAGGUAGCCAGGCAUUGAUAAUGUGCAAAGAACAACACCCAACUUGAUGCCUUUUAUGAAUUACGAUGUACAUAUAACAUGUACAAAAUGUAAGCAACCAACAGAAGAAGAAUAUAAUAGGGAACACAGGGGAAAGUUGUUUCCACCCUACAUUCUUAAACGCAGCUUAUUAAGAUGAAAAGCAGAGGGUCAAACAAUGCCUUAGGGCAAACCAUGGGGGGGGGGGUAGCAUGAGAAGUACUACAUGGUGUAUGAGCCUCAUCGAUGGAAUAACCCAAUCAUAAACCUAGCCGAGCAAUUUGAUAAAAUCCGUCCAGUAAGAGCAGCUAAGUGGUCUGUAACAAGGAUGGAAGUGCAGCAAACUACUAGUAAAUCAAGAGAGUAUAAGGAAUCAAAGUGGGACGGGGCAUCCCAAAAACCCAUAUGAAAAGUGCGACUGAAGUUCAAAUGGAAGGAGAGAUGGAAAGCUGGUCACAACUGUGAAUUAAUUACCUGCCAUCGCACUUGACUGAAAUAGGUGCCCUUGAUCGAGCUCCACAACUGUACCCGCUUUUAAACAUUCCUCUAAAUAUUAUCACGUGAUUUUAUCAGAACAUAAUCGAAGUGAGUUUCAGAAGCAAAGGAACAGCAGAAAAAUGUAUAUCAUCAGAUAUGUUCUUUAGAAACUGGAAACAGAUGGUCAGAGACUAGUUUUAAUUACCGAUAAGAUCCACCACCCGAUUUUGUCCCUCAGAGUUCAAACCUGUCAUUACAAACAUAGCAUGCUGUUAAAGCAUAUAUAAAAUGGAAGGCAAUGUUACCAACAUCAGGCUUAACAGGCAUCAAAUAUUGCAAUUCAAACUGGUAUUGUUGAAAAUCAAUAGAACGUAGAUAAUGCUUAAACAUCACUGGAUAAAUAUGUAAAACUGAAAUAAAGGGCAUGUGUUAACUACACGAGGCAUAACUGGAACCAAAUAUAGCCGUUCAAAUUGGUAUUGAUGUAAUCGAGCGGCAUAGUUCCGACUUGCACAUAAUGAACAACAUAUUGUGAAUGACUGAAAUAAACAAGGCAUAAAUGAUCAAUAUAAGAACCAAAUAUAGCCAUUGAAAACUGGACAGAGUCUCACUAGAACCAACCUAACAAGCAAAUACAGAUAAACAGGGCAUAUGCUUGAAAACUAGACAAAUGCUCACUUUAACCAACCUAACAAGCAAAUACAGAUAAACAAGGCAUCUGCUUAAAAACUGGACAAAUGCUAAAAAAAGCAACCUAACAACCAAAUACAGAUAAAUAAGGCAUCUGUUUGAUAACUGGACAAAUGCUCACAGCAACCAAACUAAGAACCAAAUACAUAUAGACAAGGCAUCGACUCGAUAGCUGGAAAAAUAAUCACUGCAGCCAACCUAACAACCAAACACAGAUAAACAAGGCAUCUACUCACUAUAGACAACCAAAUAUAGCCAUUUGUGAAACUGAAGUGGACAAUUCAUACUUAAACAUCACACAACCCUAUUGAACAAUACAUUUUUGCAUAACUGAAAUAAUUAAACAUGGCACGGUUAUAGAACCGCACGGCAAAUGCUACUACAACAAAGGGUAUGGGUUGGCAAGCUAGAAAAGGAAAGAUUUGCUGAUAGGAUGUUGCCUCACAUUUCAUGGACGGGAUCCUUCCAGUUGGAAGAGCACAGACCCAUGGUGGAAGAACCUUUGUGGGUGCCCUCCUCGUGGUCGUGGUCAUGGUCGAUGAGAUCUGACUUCGCAAUUGAGGAUUCCAAGCCGCCGACGUAGAACGUGUCCUUCAAAAAUGAUAAAACGGGCACGAUGGCGUAUAAGGAUCCCACAUCCUUGACCGCUUCGCGGAGGAGAUCAGCGGCAGGGUCGUCGAAGAGAUCAAUGGCGGUUGAACCAGAGGGGUUGGGGAUGGACCACAUAACCUGUGGCAUGGCCCGCAUGAAGCUGUAGCUAUCGACGAGCUUGAUGUCGUAGCCAGCUUUCCCGAGAUACGGUAAUACGCAAGCCUGCUGACAUGAAGCCUUCGACAUGGCAACAAGGUCAACAUCUUCGCCGGCUUCCACGCUAACGUGUUGCUCCGGGAUCGACAGGUCGGGGCGAACGGCGGCCACCUUGCCAACAUCCGCCGGAGAGGCCAUGAUAAACCACUUCUUGGCCAAACGCUUGACGGGCUCCCUGGGAUACGUGGUCGAGCUUAGGCUGCGACAUUCUGGAGAAGGGGAUGUGGAUCUGGUGGGGAGGGACACCGCAUGCUUCAUCUAAAAACUCAGGGGAGUGGGGCGACGGUAUGGGAAUCGCUAGGUAACCUGAACUUUAUUAUCUAAGCUAGGAGGAAUGAGCAGACCGGCAUGGGUUGGCGGCGGCGCCGGCCACGAGCUAGAAUUCGAGGGGGGAGGGGGCGAGUGGGGGGACUGUGGUGGGGGGUUGUGGGAAGUGGUGCUUGAGGAUACGCCAUGGCUACUAAAAAAUUUAGUAAUGGUGGGUGGAGAUGGUGGUGGACGAGGGAGGGUGACGGUUCAAAUGCCUUGGCUACUGCAAAUUUACUAUAAGGUCAGUGAUGGAGGAGUGUGGGCGACGGUUGAAGUACGGUGGCUACUAAAAUUUGGGUAAAGGAAUUGAUGCAGGGCAGGAGUGCCCAAGAUCGUGCACGGCCCAAUAAGAAUAUGUGUGUAUGAUAAUAAGGAAAAGUGGCGGAACCACCGAUUUUUGCAACGCUCAAGGCGGGUAGUUUGUUUUUAUAUUUCUAGCUAGCUGGUAUAUCGCACAUGGUUCAUCCUAAUUUCUAAAUUAACUCACCCGCCUUUAGCUUGUGCAGUCAUGGUGAUUUUAUACUGCACUUGCAUCACACAUGGUCAAGCCAGUACCUCCACCAUUUGCUCGCGGUUGCGCAGUCGUGGUGAUUUUACAGCGCACUUACAUCGCACACGGUUAAACCAGUACCUGCACCAUUUUGCUUGUGCUUGCGCAGUCGUGGUGAUUUACGGCGCACUUGCAUCACACACGGUUAAACCAUUACCUCCACCAUUUGCUCGCGCUUGUGCAGUCGUGGUGAUUUUACAGCGCACUUGCAUCGCACACGGUUAAACCAGUACCUGCACCAUUUUUCUCGCGCUUGCGCAGUCGUGGUGAUUUUACAGAAAAAACAACCUAUAGAAACCGAUGAGAGGAGUGGCGGGAAACGGUAGCCUGUUUAGGAAACGUACAAGAGAAGGGAAGUGUGAGCUAGCACGACGCAUGAGCACAGUGCUUACCCAUUGUAACGCCCCGAGACCGAUGCGCCAGGUGUCUUCCAUUUCUUUGUCGUUGUUGCCAUGUCGUUUUCUUGCGUGUGGCAUCUUGCCAUGUCACCAUCUACAUUUCAUCUGCAUGUUUUUGAAAACUUGCAUCCGUUCGGUUUUCCCCUGUUCUCUCUGUUGUACGUUCUGAGCACAGACACACUCGUACGCGCCCGCGGCACCUCUCAGAUCUCGUUUUGUGAGACGCAGAAUAACAUUCUCAGAAUGGGCCGAGAGUUGAUGAGUGGUCUUGGUACAUCACCGGUAGACCGCUUGUCAAAAUUCGUUCCAUUAAAAGGUCGUUUGAUGCCCCAACAGUUAACCGCGUUAACCGUUAGACCCCUUUCUCUUUGUAGCCCAGCACCCCUCCUCACAGCCCACUAGCCCAUCUAACCCCUCGCCAUGCUCUCCUUCGUUGGAUCACGAUCAUGUGGGCGAAAACCGCACCUCAUUUGGACUCUCCUAGCUCCCUCUACCUAUAUAAAAACCUUCCCCUCCAUUUUUUGAGGUGCAAACCCUAGUCCAUCUCCCCUCAUGCCGCGGGCGGACCAAUCGCGCGCCGCCACCUCAGCCUCCGCCGCCCCGCGCCCAAUCCUCCGCCGCCAUGUGUCGCCUCACCGUCACCCUCCACCGUGCGCCGCCCGGGCCCGCCGAAGCUCGAGCCAUGCCCUCCCGGCCCGUCCGCGCCGCUGGCCUCCUACGCCUGCGCCCGAGCGCCCCGCUGCCGCCGCCGUCUCGCUCGCCUUCGCCGCUGCACCGCCUUCUGCCGCACCCAUGCAGCGUCGCUGACCUCCAUCGCCUUCGCUACCGCGCCCGCUUGCGCCAGCUCCGGCCACCGCCUCCCCGCCGGAGUUCGCCUCCCCGUGCCUCAGAUCCGGCCGAUCCGGCCCCGGAUCCACCUCCUCGACGUCCACGCCUGUCCCCGGCCACCACGUCGCCGGAGCCACGCCGUCACCGGUCAUCUCCCUUGUCUCCGGCGAGCUCGGUCAUUGCCUCGAUUUCCGUGCCUAGGUCAACCCUAGACCCGGAGGUGAAAUUUUCUUCUGUCCCGAAAUAUUCUACUUCAUGUGCACUUGUUCAUCAUGCCAUAUCUCCAUGCAUAUAGCUCCGAUUUACGCAUAUGAUAUGUCAAAAUGUUCACUACUUGAUGCUCUUCAUGAUAGUUGCAUUUGCGUUCAUGUUACUGUCCAUAUUCAUGUCUUAAUCUUUGUUGCAAAACUGCGAUGUGAUAUAAACUGCUGGAAUCUGCUGAUUGUUAACAUCAUGUAUGCAUCUUGUGAGUGGUGUAACUUUGUACUUGUUGAUCCUAUGAUGAUGAUCUUGAUACGCACAUGUUCUGCUCUUCAUGAUCUACAUGUUGGUGUGCUUUGCAUUCAUGUUAGGGUACAUCCUGACAUGUUAAUCUCUGUUGAAAAAGUGCAUGUUGCUGUUAACUGCUAAAAACUGUUGUAACUUGCCUAUUUAUCAUUUUUAUAUCUUUUUGUGUGAUUUUCUUUUGAGCAUCAUGUCUACAUGUUUUAGGAGAAUAAUCGUGCUGUCUUUAUAGGGGUGCAAUCCAUGUAUUUUGAUAUUUCCCUAUAGUGAGUGCAUCAAGCUUGUGAAAUGGGUUACUUGUUGUUAACUUUCUGUCAAGUCUGUUUCUGUCAUAUCAUGAUGCUAUCUUUGCUUGAUGCUAUCAAUUAAUCCGUGCAUAAUCUGGAGAUGCUUAGUUGACAUGUUUUGUUGUACAUGUUAUGCUCUAUCAUUCCAUGCCUUUUUAUGCCUCAUAUAUGUCUUGUAGAGUAUGGUUUCAUUGCCAUGAACAUGCUUACAUGUUGUUCCAAUUUUCUGUUAACUUCAUGAUGCCAUGUUGUGAGCUUGAUAUUAGUUAAUACAUGCAUAUUCUGGAGAUGCUCCAACUAAAUGUUUUGAUAUGCUAUGAGCACUUUGUUCACAUGCCAUGGUUGUUAAUUUUGGACUUCACAUGACUCUGUUCCAUGCUUGCAAACAUGCUAUCAUGAUGUUGCUGUUUUACACUUGCUGAAAUUGUUUCAAUAUUCAAACUUGUCUUGUUGGUUCCUACUAAUCCAUGAGCGAUAUGUAUAUGAUGCCAUGAUGUUAUUUUCUAUUUGUUAUGUGUAGUUUGAUACAAUACCCUUGGUUGCCAUGUAUAGUUUUUGUAGCAUCUUUGUUUCAUGCCUCCAACAUGCCAUCAUAUUAACUCCGCUCAUGCAUAUGCUCCUGUGUUAUAAAGAUGUUUUUUGCAUUGAUCAUAUUGGUUUAAUAUUGAUGCCCAUGAACCUGAAACUUAAUGUUAGUUGAAGUUUGCUAUCUAUAAAUGAAGUGCAUGUAAAGUUUGUGCUCAUAUGAUUCCUAUAGCAUGUUGUUUUGAUGAUUGCGACGUGCCUAUUUGCUGUUUUGGGCAGAUUGUUGUUAUAUCUUGUUUGGAGUGUAUGUGUUGCACUGUUGCUCCAUUUAGAGCAUGCUCUAUAUGAAACUUGCUUAGAAUUGCAUGUAGUUUCAUAUUAUCUUGUUACAUCCUUGUUUUGAGGUGUGUGCUUGAUGUUUGAAUGUAUUUUUGCAUCAAUGCCAUGUUUAACUUGUGUUGCUCAUAUCUUCUAGGCCAUAGUUCCGAAUUAAAUGAACUUUAUAUGUAACUUAACUAGAAUUUCGUGUAGAUCAUCAUGGUGCAUCUUAACUUGAAAAUAAGGUUUGGCUAUGUUACUGCUUGCUAUGUUGCAUCAAUGCCAUUGUUUUUUUUUUGAAACCUCGUAGCCUUUCUUUUCUUCUCUUUAUUCUUCUGUUAAAGAGAAUUAGAGAGAGGGGGGAGAAAUGCCAGCAGCGGGAGCUGCUCCGGCCUUUUGCUUCCCAAGGCCCAGAGCGCGCCCUUCAACCCUAGCCCGAUCCCUCACUCUCCUCUCGAUCCCCAUCUCCCUCCUGACCGCCGCCACUCGCACACAUCGAGCCAGGGAGAGGAGCUCCCUGCGCCCGAUCCCCAGCGCCGCCACCUCUCAUCUCUCUCGAUCCACCUCGUCCUCCUCCCGACCGCGCCGCCAGGGGGAGCCUCGGCUCGAUCCCCAUCUUCCUCCUCCCUGCGCCCUCCGGCGAGCUCGACUGCACGCGCCUUCUUCCCUUGCCGCGCCUCCUGCCUCGCGAGCCUCCCCUUGCCACCGUCCUUAUCCUCGACCUCCGCGCCGUCCCGGAGUCCCUCGCCCGCCGCUGCACGGCUAACCUGCAGCUUCCCUUCCGCUGCCAUGGACGCCACCUCGCCGGCCUCCUUCUACCUCGACGAAGCAGGGCCCCGACGCCCGCGUCCGACCCCGUCAUUCGCCUCGCCGACCCUUCUCUACGUCGCUGCCUCGCCAUGGAGCCGCGCCCGCUCACCUCCUCCUCCGACCCGUGCGGCCGUCUUGCACCACACCCGUGCGCCGGCUUCCUCUGCAUCGAAGCCCUUCUUCAGUUGCGGAGAAGGACACGCUCCUUGUCCCCUGCAACGUCGCCUCUCCAGCCGCAUCGGCCCGCUGCUAGGUCGUGCUCGACCCCAGCCUCCUCUGCUUCACCUUCUCGCCAGAGAUCACGCCGCUGCUUUCUUCUUCACCUCCUACCCGAGUCCCCUACAUCAGCCCCAGAAGCCACCGUCCCCUGUCGGUGGCCUCUACUGUCCUUGCGCACCUCCUGGACAACCCUGCUACCCGCUGUCUUCAUGCACCUUUGCUUGUUGUUGCCGUUGACGCCAAGUUCCCCUACGAUCCAUCUACGACUACGCGGACUCGCCAAGUACCACGAUGCCCUGAGCCCUGGAUACUUCAAGGUUGACUCCAUCGCCGAGAACGACUACGUGACGACCCUGGAUAUGGAACUACAAAAUGCCGAUUACCCCUUCGAGUUGACAAGACCGGCAAGCCCGACGACCCCGAACAUCUAAGAAACAUGAACCACUACUUCCACUACCGUCACCGUGUACCACUACUUCCACUACCGUUGCGAGAACGUCUACUUCCAUCUACACCGCAUAGAACUCGUUCCGCCCCGAAAACGCACGCUUCAAAGGUAUAACCGAUGAGACGACCUUCCGAGAAUGAAUGCGUGUUGUAUGAGAUGCUCAUGUUUGAACCGUGUCCGAGUUGUCAUUGCACAUUCCUCCUCGUUUGCCAAGCCGUCGACCCAUGGGGAACCUGGUAACCGGGAUCACCCCACCAUCUUUUGCAUGUUCCGUACAUCCACACUUCCUCUUGCACCAACAUCUCGACGGGUUGUCGGAUCAUCGGAAUGUUGCCGUGGCACCAUUUUCGUUGUCAUUGCCAUGGCACCCCUUUUCGAUCCGCCAUGGUGACCAAAUGCUUCAUAACAUGCUCAUGUUAACAUUUUCAUAAAAUUGCAUAUACUUCUAUAUGUCAUCCGCAUCAUGAUAACAACAUUUAAAAUGCUUAAAAUUGUUGUUUGCUUUAAAUUGCUAAAUAACAUAUGAGGAUUUUCUGGAAUUGUUGUUUGUUAUUUCUGGCCUCAUUUAAAUUGCCUAGCUAGGUAGUUUUAUUAUGCUUCACCUCUUGCCAUGUUUAACAACAUUUAAUAUUGUUGAGUAGCUUAAACGAGAUGAACUAAAUAAUUGUUGUGAAGUUUCGUCAAUAUGCAACCUCAUUGCAUAUUGAGCUCCACUUAACUUGUAGUGUGGUUUGUUGCACUUUGCCAUGCCAUGCCUCAUUAAAAUGGACAUGCAUCAUACUUGAUUAUGCAUCAUGCCAUGUUUAUGCUUGUUCGUUUACCAUGUUGUUUGCUUCUUUUUGGUGUUGCUUCUUCUUAAUAGUUUCGGUAAUGUUGCGAUUGUGAGGAUUCAUUCGACUACGCCCGUUCGUCUUCUUCAUGGACUGGUUCUUCUUCCUAGCGGAAUUUCAGGCAAGAUGAUCGUUACCCUAGAUCUCACUAUUAUCAUUGCUAUGCUAGUUGCUUUGUUCUAUCGCUAUGCUGUGCUACCUAUCACUUGUUGAUCAAGCCUCCCAAAUUGCCAUGUCAGCCUCUAACCUUUUCACCCUUCAUAGCAAACCGUUGUUUGGUUAUGUUACUGCUUUUACUCAGCCCCUCUUAUAGCGUUUUUAGUUGCAAGUGAAGUUGAAGAUUGCUCCAUGUUGGAACAUGAUUAUGUUGGGAUAUCACAAUAUCUCUUAUUUAAUUAAUGCAUCUAUAUACUUGGUAACGGGUGGAAGGCUCGGCCUUAUGCCUGGUGUUUUGUUCCACUCUUGCCGCCCUAGUUUCCGUCAUACCGGUGUUAUGUUCCUUGAUUUUGCAUCCCUAAAACGGUGAGGGGUAUGGGACCCUCUUGACAGUUUGCUUUGAAUAAAAAUCCUCCAGCAAGGCCCAACCUUGGUUUUCCAUUUGCCUAACAACCUAUACCUUUCCCUUGGGAGUUAUAAACCCGAGGGUCAUCUUUAUUUAACCCCCCCCCNNNNNNNNNNNNNNNNNNNNNNNNNNNNNNNNNNNNNNNNNNNNNNNNNNNNNNNNNNNNNNNNNNNNNNNNNNNNNNNNNNNNNNNNNNNNNNNNNNNNNNNNNNNNNNNNNNNNNNNNNNNNNNNNNNNNNNNNNNNNNNNNNNNNNNNNNNNNNNNNNNNNNNNNNNNNNNNNNNNNNNNNNNNNNNNNNNNNNNNNNNNNNNNNNNNNNNNNNNNNNNNNNNNNNNNNNNNNNNNNNNNNNNNNNNNNNNNNNAGUGCUCCUCUGAGUGUUGGUCCGAACCGAGUAGCCUGCGGGGCCACCUCGGGGAAACUCGAGGGAUAGUUUUACUUGUAGCUUGUCUCAUCCGUUGUGCCCUGAGAACGAGAUAUGUGCUGCUCCUAUUUGGAUUUGCCAGCACAUUCCGGUGGUUUUGUUUUACCAUUGUCAAAAUGUCUUGUGCCUCGGGAUCCCGAGUCUGAUCGGAUGUCCCGCGAUGGAGGAUUGUCUCCGCGGAUCCUGAGCUUAUAAUGGGCUAAGUUGGGACACCCCUGCAGGGUUUAAACGUUCGAGAGUCGUGCCCGCGGUUAUGUGGCAGAUGGGAAUUUGUUAAUAUCCGGUUGUAGAGAACUUGACACCAGACUCGAAUUAAAAUACCCAACCGCGUGUGUAACCGUGAUGGUCUCUUUUCGAGUGGGUCGAGAAGAGAACACGGUGGUGUUAUGUUUGAACGUAAGUAGUUCAGGAUCACCUCUUGAUCAUUACUAGAUUGUGACCGUUUGCGCAGCUUCUCAUCUUAUUCUUGUAUUCGUAAGUUAGCCACCAUACAUGCUUAGUCGCUUGCUGCAACCUCAUCACUAUCCAUUCCUUACCCAUUAAGAUUUGCUAGUCUUGAUACGCAUGGUAAUGGGAUUGCCGAGUCCUUGUGGCUCACAGAUUACUACAACAACAGUUGCAGGUAUAGGCAAUCAGAUGGAUCGUGACGUGAGAGCGAUGCUUACUUGUCUUGAGUUCUUCUUCUGCUUUGCCGUUCAGGGGAUAGGUUCCUGGUCGGCAGCCUGGGCUAGCAGGGUGGAUGUCGUUUGAGUUUCUGUUUGUGUUUCAUCCGUAGUCGGAUAUUGCUCUUAUGUAUGAUGUUGUUGUAUUCAUGUGGCAUUGUAUGCCUCUUGUAUGUAUUCCCAACUAUUAUGUAAUGGUACGAUGUAAUGAUAUCCACCUUGCAAAAGCGUCUCCAAUAUGCGCUUCUAUCCUUGGUGGGACCUUCGAGUUUCUUUAGGAUAGGGUCGCAUAUUGGGCAUGACACCCAUGUACUGCAUGUGCUGUCGAAAGGGCUGAGGGUUGCCGUUCGAUCUGGGAGCAUCCAACGGUGCAGACGUACAAUCCGUGGGGUUUGGGUUCUGGCCAAUCAGAACGCACGACUCAGAUCGCACGCGGCAACGGCCAUGGUUUGGUAGGCACACUGCUUCCGUUUGACCUCUUUAUACACUAAUUGAGUUUCCUAGGCAUUUAAUGUCCAUAAUUCAAAUAUGAACUUCAAAUACAUGCUCCAGUUCACCAAAAUGGCUAGAAAACUUCUACAUGUGUCCUUGGGUGCAUGUUUAGGUCCCAUGCCAGGAAUGCGAAUGAAUUACAACCGUACCGGCGUCCUGGAUCGUCCCCAAACAUUUAGAAUCUUGGUUUCUAAAUCCUCGUAAAUCCUAAACUCACCAUAAAGUCAUGAAAGUUGGCAUGGUGCCACGUCAUGGCGCAUAUAUGUUGUGGUAAAAACAUUGUCUAAUUUGGGCCAAUCUUUAUUACAAACCUCUUACAAACCAGAACUUCUCUCAAAGAAGCCUCGUGGUUCCGAUAGGGAAACAUGUUCCCCUUGUGGCGAAACAUAAUCGCUGCCUCUUUUCGCCUUGUAUUUACUUCUACGGGCAACAUGGAACGAUGGGAUAUCGAUGCUGAAAUUUAAACUUAUUCAGGGUUCGUUUGUCCUUUUUAUACACUAAUUGAGUUUCAUAGGCAUUUAAUGUCCAUAAUUCAAAUUUGAACCUCAAAUACAUGCUCCAGUUCACCAAAAUGGCUAGAGAAAAUAUACAUGCAUGUGUCCUUGGGUGCAUGUUUAGGUCCCAUGCAUUGCCAGGAAUAGGAACGAAUUACAACCAUACCAGCGUCCUGGCUCGUCCUCAAAUAUUUGGAAUCUCGAUUUUUAAAUCCCCGUAAAUCCAAAACUCACCAAAAAGUCAUGAAAGUUGGCAUGGUGUCACGUCAUGGCGCAUAUAUGUUGUGGUAAAAACAUUGUCCAAUUUGGGCCAAGCUUUAUUACAAACCUGUUACAAACUGGAGCUUCUCUCAAAGAAACCUCGUGGUUCCGAUAGGGAAACGUGUUCCCCUUAUGGCGAAACAUAAUCACUGCCUCUUUUCGCCUUGUAUUUUCUUCUACGGGCAACAUGGAACGACAGGAUAUCGGUGCUGAAAUUUAAACUUAUUCAGGGUUCGUUUGGCCUUUUUAUACACUAAUUAAGUUUCAUAGGCAUUUAAUGUCCAUAAUUCAAAUCUGAACCUCAAAUACAUGCUCCAGUUCACCAAAAUGGCUAGAAAAAAUAUACAUGCAUGUAUCCUUGGUCGCAUGUUUAGGUCCCAUGCAUGCUAGAAUGGGAACAAAUUACAACCGUAUUGGGGUCCUGGCUCGUCCUCAAACAUUUGGAAUCUCGGUUUUUAAAUCCCCAUAAAUCCAAAACUCACCAAAAAGUCAUGAAAGUAGGCAUGGUGUCACGUCAUGGCACAUAUAUGUUGUGGUAAAAACGUUGUCCAAUUUGGGCCAAGCUUUAUUACGAACCUCUUACAAAUUGGAGCUUCUCUCAACAAGAAGCCUUCUGGUUCCGAUAGGGAAACGUGUUCCCCUUGUUGUCGAAACAUAAUCACUGCCUCUUUUCGCCUUCUAUUUUCUUCUACGGGCAACAUGGAACGACAUGAUAUCCAUGCUGAAAUUUAAACUUAUUCAGGGUUCGUUUGGCCUUUUUAUACACUAAUUGAGUUUCCUAGGCAUUUAAUGUCCAUAAUUCAAAUCUGAACUACAAAUACAUGCUCAAGUUCACCAAAGUGGCUAGAAAAUGUACAUGCAUGUGUCCCUGGGUGCAUGUUUAAUUAGGUCCCAUGCCAAGAAUGGGAACGAGUUACAACUGUACCGGCGUCUUGGCUCGUCCUCAAACAUUUGGAAUCUCGGUUUUUAAAUCCCAUAAAAUCCAAAACUCACAAGAAAGUCAUUAAAGGUGGCAUGGUGUCACGUCAUGGCACAUAUAUGUCGUGGUAAAAACAUUGCCAGUUUGGGCCAAGCUUUAUUACAAACCUCUUACAAGCCGGAUCUUCUCUCAAGGAAGCCUGAUGGUUCCGAUGGGGAAACGUGUUCCCCUUGUGGCGAAACAUAGUCGCUCCCUCUUUUCGCCUUUUAUUUUCUUCUAUGGGAAAAAAUGGAACAACAUGAUAUCCAUGCUGAAAUUUAUACUUAUUCAGGGUUCGUUUGGCCUUUUUAUACACUAAUUAAGUUUCCUAGCUAGGCAUUUAAUGUCCAUAAUUCAAAUUUGAACUACAAAUACAUGCUCUAGUUCACCAAAAUGGCUAGAAAAAUUAUACAUGCAUGUGUCGUUGGGUGCAUGCUUAGGUUCCAUGCAAGGAAUGGGAACGAAUUACAGCCUGACCAGUGUCCUAGCUUGUCCUCAAACAUUUGGAAUCUCGUUUUUUGAAUCCCCAUAUAAAUCCAAAACUCACCAGAAAGUCAUUAAAGGUGGCAUGGUGUCACGUCAUGGCACAUAUAUGUCGUGGUAAAAACAUUGCCAAUUUGGGCCAAGUUUUAUUGCAAACUUCUUACAAACCGGAGCCUGUCGCAAGAACCCUCGUGGUUUCGAUAGGGAAAUGUGUCCCCUUGUGGGCCAAAUGAUAAUCGCUCCCUCUUCUAGCCUCGUAUUUUUUCUACACGCAACACGGAACAAUGGGAGAUUCGCACUGAACUUUGAAAUUAUUCAGGGUUCGUUUGACCCUUUUGUUCAUUAAUUAAGUUUUCUAGGCAUUUAAUAUCCAUAAUUCAAAUCCAAACUACAAAUACAUGCUCCAGUGCACCAAAAUGGCUAGAAAAAACAUACAUGUGUCCUUGGGGUGCAUGUUUAGGUCCCAUGGAACAAAAUGGGAAUGAAUUCAACCGUCUCGCUGUCCUGCCUUGGCCACAAACAUUGCAAAUCUCGGUUUAUAAAUCUCUGUAAAUCCAAAACUCAUCAGGAAAACAUGAAACUUGGCAGGGUGUCACUACAUGGUACAUAUAAUUAUCCAAUUUGGGUGAAGCUAUAUUACAAGCCUCUUACAAACCUAAGCUUCUCGCAACCCUCAUGGUUUUGGUGGGCGAAACAGUAAUCGUUGCCUCUUCAAGCCUUGAACUUUGUAUUCUACCAGCAACAUAGAAUAACAGGAGUGUCAUGCCAAAAUUUGAAACUGUUUAGGGUUCGUUUGACCAUUGUAUAUAUUAUUACUAAUAAUUAAGUUUUCUACGCAUUUAAUGUAAUCCAUAAUUCAAAUUUGAACUACAAGUGCAUGCUCCAGUGAAGCAAAAUGGGUGGGAAAUCGUACAUGUGUCAUUGGGUGCAUGUUUAGGUCUCAUUUAAGGAAUGAGAAUGAAUUACAAACUUGUCGUUGUCCUGAAACAUUGAGAAUCUUGGUUUUUAAAUCCUAGUAAAUCAAAAACUCACCCAAAAAACAUGAAACUUGGCAUGGUUCCAUGACAUGGCACAUAUAUGAUGUGGUAAAAAAAUCGUCUAGUUUGAGAAGAGGCGCACACAUUAGUAGCCAACGGAGUCCUUUUUGAAAGAAAAAGCGGACACGUUAAUAUCGCAAACGGUUGUAUUAUAUGAACUAUGUCAAAAUUUAACCAUACUCAGUUGCGUGCGUGCAGCUGUUUGAUUAGACAGGAUGAGCGCGAGAAGUCCGCCGUGCAAGCUCGACGGGACGCAUGCAAGCAGUCCUCCACGCAGGCUCGAUGGGACGCGUGCAUCCUAUCCACCUCGCAGGCUGGACGGGACACGUGCGAGCAGCAAGGCUGCCCAUGCUCACCGGGAAGCGAACUCUUUGACCUCCAUGCACCAGCCGCCGCCCGCCUCGCUCACAACUUCUCCAUUAAUGGGUUAAUUAAAGCGCCUGCCUCCGGUUUUUGCUUGUGAUCCCAUGACAACAUUUGCUUUGUUCGUGUUUUCAACUCGUAUUCUGGCCUAAUUUAAAUUGCCACAUAGGGCAACGGAUAAUAUAGCGACAAAUAAAAUGGAAACUGAUAGUACGACGACAAAUUUACAAUGGCACAGAUAAUAAUUGUCUUACAUAUUCUGGAUAAUUUAAAAUGCCACAUGCGGCAAAACCCGGAAGACACGGGGGCAAGAGAAGAAGGAAAUCGCAUGCAACAAUCUGGAUCGCUAUUGUAUCUACUCUUCGAUGGAUCGGAGGGCGAUGACAUCCCCCAACUCCUUCUUCAAUUCCUCACGACUUUAACUGAAAGCAGACACGGAUUCCUCCACCUCCUGCUCGCACUAGAUCCGGAGCUUCCUCAAGUCACCCAUCAGUUCCUCGACGACCGAUGUCAGUGUCAUCCCCGAGGCACUGCUCUGCUAAUGCAGCAUCUUCCAGCCGGUGGCCUCAUCCUCCUUCUCGGUGAGCGCCUUAGGAAGCUUCGCAUUGUCACCCAUGAGUUGCUCGACGAGGCCGGUCGCCUUGUCAAACGAGGCAUCGCUAAUCUCGAGCAGCUUCAUCAAGCCGUCGACUAGCUCCUGCUGCUAAAUGAGGCUAGCGAGAAUGUCUUCAUCGCCGGCCAAGGACUUCAGAAACGCCAGCUCGUCGCAAUCGCCGACACGGUGAGUGCACUUGUGAGCUCGUUCGAGGGCUCUGCGGCUCGCCAGAACAUCUCUGUUGCGGCUGCGGCUGCCGCUUUGCGGCGGGACCUCUCUAGUGCUUCUGCAGCCUUGGUCUUUGUUGUCUGGUUGUAUGCCCACUCGAAACUCCUCCUGCCGGUCAUGGCAGAACGACUUGACAGGAAAGACCAGUUUUGUGGGUGAUGGGGAGAGGAACUGUAAAGUAAUUUUCGAGUGGGUAGUUUUUAUAGCCCGGUGCUAAGUGUGAACACAUACUAGUUUGGUCGGUGUGAACAGAUUUGCAAUUACUUAUUGCGUUGUAAUCUACAAUGUGACGAUAAAUAAAGUCAAAAUUUAUUGAUGGUUCUGGCCUUCUGGGCCUAAAAAGCCCCGUUUUUGUUGUUCUGCCUCAUCGCAAAUCGUUCUUUUGGAUCAACCAUAUGCCACGCAUCGGAAGCCCGAAACGUGGGCCCUUGUUCUCGGAUGUACGUGUAUGUGUCUACCCAUUAUCAAACACGGUCAUGAUAUCGCCAUCGUGUCUUAUGGAUGCGUCGUCGCGUCUCCCACCGGGUGCUAGAAGGUUGACCACGUGGUUGCUCGCGUGGCGUCCCUGCGUGCGCUCUGCUCGCCAUUGAGGCAAAUUUACAAUGGCAACGGUUAAUAAUUGUCUUACAUAUUCAGGAUAAUUUAAAAUGCCACAUGCGGCAAGGCACAAAACACUCACGACCUACUUAUGCAUACAAUUAUAAUAAAAUAUAGGCUAAAAAGCUGAGCCGGCGGCCUUCCGACCAGGGUCUUCUCGAACUCCAUGAUCAGCAUAUCACCCUUGCGACCGUUCAUUAUGUGUACCUUACUAAUCAUCGCACACGAGUAAUCGCAGACGCAUCGUGUGCGAUACUCCUAGCCACCACAAGAAACUAGUUUGCAUUUUUCAAAAAAAAUUGUACGAACAGAAUCGCACACGAACUUACUAUAGUAAUCAUCUGUGUUAUAAUUUCUCAUUGCAAACAGUUCAUCCGAGUGGUCUGUUUACUGCGUAUCACACACAUCUGGUUUACACGAAUCGUUUGUGUUCUUUUGGCUCAUCGCAAAUGUUGCAUAUCACACACAUCUCGUUAAGAUCAACCGUUUCGAUUCUCUUGCCUAAUCGAAAACAGUUUGUCCAAGUGAACCGUAUGCUGUAUAUCACACGCACCUUGAUCUAGCUAGCCAUUUCUGUUGCAUUCCCUAAUAGCACACAGUUCAUCGGAACGAACUGUAUGUCGUAUAUCGCACACACACAUUGAUAUGGCUGCCCGUUUUUGUUGUUCUUCCUCAUCGCAAACAGUUCUGCUGGAUCAACCGUAUGCCCAGCAUCGCACACGCAAGUAAAAUCUAAAGCGUGUUUGAUGUCUCCACCAUCGCAAACUUUUUGCACCUUUUUGUUUUACACCACUGUUUGUGAUUAUUGCGUCGCACAUAGUUUCGUCGAAGGGUCUCUGAUCGUAGUGUCGCGUUAGCAGCAUCCUGCAGUAGUGAUGCAUGAUUGGUUUCCAAGAUAUAGGGGGAGAUCUCCACAAUUCCAAUCUGCCAUGUGCAUUUGCAAUCCAAAGAAAAUUCCUCAUUUACACAUCUUCAAUGGGAGUUCCUCAAUAUCUUGUAACCAAUUUCUUUAAACUCUGUACUUGCACUUCAAUUAUUUAUACUCCCAUUGACACCUAACCAAUUUCUCAUCAAUCACCAAUAUGGGGGAUAUUGUAAGUGCAUCAAGUAUCCCCUUAGUGGUUUUGGAAUAUUGAAGACAAAUAGGUUGAGGAACUAAUGUAUUUGUGAGUAUACACAGGUAAUAUAGUUCCAAAAGAUUUGGUUUAAGACAUGAAAGUCGACCCCUAAAAAUGGAUUUCUUCAAGUGAAGAAUUUGGUGAUGAAAUUGGUACGGCCUUUGAAGAAAUUGGUGUGAAGACUUUGAAGCUUGAAGACUUUGUUUUCAUAGUUUCUUUUCUUAUUAUUUGAGUCGUAGGAAAAACCGUACUAUCGAAGGGGGUCUAGGUGAGAUAUAUUUCACAUUUCCAAAGUGAUGCUCAAACCUAUUCAAACUUGUACACAAAAACCGCUUCGAGUGAAGCAUUUGGAAAUCUCUAGUACAGCUGCUGCAUUUGCUAGCGAUAGUGAUGAAGUUCAUCUGGCCAUUGAAGAAUUUGGUCACGCCGGGGAGUUAGGAGUUUGCCAGUGUGUUCUGCCUAAAAGUGAGGAAAUUGAGUGCCCUGAAUUUGAGAGUUCAAAUUUCGACUGUUGUUGCGCCGCGUGCCAGCUGUCGAGUGGAUCCUUAUCCUAACAACGGUCGAAUGACAGAAGGACAUUUAUGACAAUUCAUGUCGGGUUGCCCCUGGCUAUAAAUAGCCUCCCCCUACAACCACUUGUUCGUUCGCUGCCCGAGAGAACUUGACACUUGUCAUAAGAGAGCAACCCAUCCUCUGACGAUUUUGGGAGAAUCCUAAGAGAGGAAAAACCCAGCGCCAAAGUGAUUGAGCAUCACUGAAAAGAUUGAUCUAUGUGAUCCAACGCCUGUUACCUUUGAAGACAGUUAUUCUUCCAGAUGGUUAGACGUCAAGUUCUGAGUACACCAAGAGUCUUUGUGGUGUGCCGGUGAAUAAGUUUGUGAAUGUUUUGGAAGUCUACCUUGAAGACUUACCAUGAUUGAUUGGACGAGAUCUGCAUGUCUUAGUUCAAGAGGAAUACGGUGAGGACUGUGUGUCCUCUGAGUUGGGACUCAGCUGUCGUGGGAACUUUCGAAAAUAGUAAGGGGUAGGGUAAAGGUGAAUGAUCUAUCGAGAUGCAAACAGGUGACACGAAUGAUUUUAGCGACUUCAGGCCUCUCAUGGUGGAGAUAACAACCCUACGUAUCAUGCUCCAGAGAGGCUUUCUUUUAUCUGUCAAGAACACCGAGUUACAUUGUGUAUUCGAGAGAGAGGGGGGAGAACAGAUCUCCAUGUCUGAGCUAAGUCCUGAGACUAUUGGUGAGGGGAAGAGAGAUGAGAGCUAGGGCCAUCCUAGCUACAUAGUGGGGGUGGGUUAUAUAGAGUACACCACCCCCCUCAUCUCUUAUAUUACAAAGUGGGGCAUUGAUGCCAUAAUGUCAUAAUACUACUAGGAUGAUGCUUCGACUGCCUUGACGACUGUUAGUCUUUGCAUAUCCGAGUGAGUCAUACUGCCGAGUGGUUGCAUGUCAUCCGAGUGGAUGGUACAUCGGUACGUCCGAGUGGAUAGUAUGUCUGAAUGAGAUUUAUCUGGACCCACACCUCAUGUGUGGACCCCAUGUUUUAUGAUAUUUUUACCCUUUGUGGGCCUACCUGUUAUGUGUAUCCCCAACAUUAGCCCCCGAAUCGAUUGCGAUUUUGCAGAACGAGUUUGUGAAAGACACAAUUUGGCCCGAGUCAUUACGGUAAUACUCGAUACCCAUCAUCGUCCUUUCAAACAACCAAGGUUUGAACAAAAUCUCAAUGGAUUCUGGCAAUGCGCUUCCUGACUGAUCUGGGGUAAGUGGGCGCGAGGAGAAACAUGGUGACAAUCGUUCAUCUCUCGGAAGAGGUAUACUCAUGAUCCGAGUAUGGAAGUGUCAUUAAAUCUGGGCAACCAGAUUGAUGAAUGGACCGCUCUCUCGGAGAUAUGCCAUUCUUAUCCUGGAGGAACGUCAAUACGAGUCGGCUCUAGAUCCAAACUUAUGAGUUUCACCCUUCAAGUCCUAGAAGAAGGCUCGAAACGGGUCCAUAGAGGAGUGUUAAACUCACCUUAUAGCAAUUUUUUGAGUGAUCUGGAGCUAGUCCUGCACCGAGUAACUGAUUACUAGAAAUUUUGUUCUGUGGGUGCGCGAUCAGCGCACCCAUAGGGUGUAGCCCGCGAGACUCUGACUGUUUACCUGUUAUGUUUAUUCCCAACAUCAACCGCCUCACCCAGACGUACAGUUGAUGCAGCAACUGGAACCGGUCUACCAAAUUUCAUUGUCCUCACCGAGCCAACCUGGUUUUAAAUUCCUCAACCCUCUCUUUACUUUAUUCCGCUGCUAAAGAAUUUGUGAUCUGUGUUCUGACGAAUUUGAAAUGAAGAGUUUCAUCACGCUAUCUUUCAUUUCCUCAGUUCAUUUUCUUCAAGCGUGUAUGAAUAUAUGAUUGCAUGUUCUUCACUCUCACAUAUCCUGAUUGCAUGUACUCUGAUUCUGUGAUGUCUUAGCUUCCCUUUCACUCUAAUCUUCGUCAAAUUCUUCAGAGUUUGACAAAUUUCUAAAAAUCUCCCAUUCACCCCCCCCCCCUAUGGGAGUUAACCUGCGCUUUCAAAGCAUCCUUGGAUUAGAAACGGCACGGCUGGAAACAUGCGCCACCAAUUGAAGAUGCAACGACAUAAGGAAAACUGCUGCCAUGGCAGCCGAAGGUGCCACAUGGACCAAUCAAAGGGGAAGAGCGCGUCAUCGAACGUCCAACUCGGAUUCGCCAACCAGCUCGCAGGUUCGUGGGCCAAAUAUGGGAUAAUGCCAUUAUAAGCAAGGCAUGGAAGGAGUGAAGCAUCCUUGGAUCAGAAAUGACACGGCUGAAAACAAGUGCCACCAACUGAAGAUGCAACGACAUCAAGGAAAAGUGAUGCCAUGGCAACCGAAGGUGCCACAUGGACCAAUCAAGGGGAAGGGCGCGUCAUCGAACGUCCAACUCAGAUUUGCGAGCCAGCUCGCAAGUUCGUGGGCCCAUAAUGGGGUAAUGACAUAAAACACAAGGCGUGGAACGAGCAAAGCAUCCCCGGAUUAGAAACGACACGGCUGGAAAGCAGCCACACCGAUUGAAGAUGCAACGACAUCAAGGGAAAGUGUUGUCAUGGCAGCCGAUGGUGCCACAUUGACCAAUCAAGGGGAAGGGCGCGUCAUCGAACGUCCAACUCGGAUUCGCGAGCCAGCUAGCAGGUUCGUGGGCCCAAAAUGGGUUAACGCUAUAAAAAGCAGGGCGGUGAAGGAGUGAACCAUCCUUGGAUCAGAAACGGCACGACUGCUUUACUUUGUGUUUCUUUCUUCUUUCCGAGUCGUAUUCGAGACCUGGUGUGUGUAAACGAAAGAGAGAGAACUAUAGUACCUAACACCAAUGUUCAUGGUCCAUUUCCUCCAUUGGUAGCUAAUAUUGUUUUUUUUUUGACAGGUAGUAGCUAAUUGGUGGGAGGGGAACGGUGGGGUUUUCCGGAGCUUCGAUGCAUCUAAGGUGGGGACCUCGUCGGCGUUCCCCCCGGCUGCUAGCCCAAGGCGGCGGACCGGAUCUCAUCAGUGACCUCCCCGACGACCUCCUCCUCCUCGUCCUCGCCGGCCUACCCUGCGUCAGCGCUGCCGCGCGCACCGGGGUCCUCUCCCGCCGGUGGCGCAGCCUCUGGCCCCGCCUCCGCCAGAUCGUCUUCAGCGACGUCCCGCUCCACUCGCUCGAAGCGGUGCUCGACCGCUUACCUCGACCCCUGCCCUUGGUUUCCCUCAUCAAAAUCCGCUUCCCCAACGAGCGGCUACCAUGGCCGAUCCCCGAGGAGCGCCUGGUCGACGCUGCCAGCGUCAACUCGUUGCUCCGCGCCGCCGCGCGGCUCGAGCCGGAGGAGUUCGAGUUUGAGCUCCCCACGAACUUACUCGACGGUCCGCUCAUCGUCGACCUGCCUUGCUUCCACCGCGCCACCUCCAUCCUGCUGGACCUUCACCCCGUCGACGUCAUCCUCCGCGUGCCAACCGGCGUCGAGUUCCCCGCACUCGAGGAGCUGCACCUGUGGGCAUGCACCGCCGACAUUGACGCCUUGCUCUCCUGCUCCCCGCGCUUGCGCACGCUCUGCCUGAGUAACGUUUAUUCCGACAACGACGACCUCGCUGUGAGCGCCACGCUUGCGGUCAGCUCGGCGUCGCUGCAGGAGCUUGUCCUGCUUCAAACCGACUGGAUGGAUGGCGUCAACAUCGUUGCCCCCACGCUUAGGCAAUUGACCGUGUCUUUUCCGGCAAUGGAGAAGGUCAGCAUCUCGGUCUUGGCACCAAUGGUGGAGAUGGUCGCGUGGAGAUGCUGCUACUUCGAGCUGUCCAUCGUGUUCGGUGUUUGGCGACUCGAGCAGGUGACUCUGCAGACGGCUGAGAGACCAGGACAGCUGCCUUCGCUGCAGAUUCAUGCCAGCGCCGUACGUCCUUCUCCCACUCAACUUAUAGCAAGCUCUGACCAAACUAAAUGUGUGAAUGAUACAUAUCGUACCAAAUUGUUUUUCCAGAAUCCUAUUUUUGUCAGUGAAGAGGAGACAUUUAUGCACGAGAUAGAGAAGCAUAUGUUUGCCGAGUUUUCUGUUUUGGACCUACAUCUCGAAACAAAUGGACAUGUGUUUGGAGCGCUCGUGUUUCAUGUCCUAGGGAUGAAUAGAAUUUGUAGUGCUAUGCAGAAGCUUAAGGUCAUUCUACAGAGAUCAUCGGUAAUUUUCUGCUCUGAUUACAUACUCUAAUGAUACAUUGUGUAUUAAUCACAUAUAAUGUUUUUUCUCACAAAAAAUCACAUACGAUAUUUUUCCCGAAAAAAGAAGUUCACAUAUAUAUUAUAUUUGGUUUUAGGUGAAAGAAGGAUGCUCACCUCAUUGUCCAUGUGAGUCCACGGGGUGGAGAUCCCAAACUAUCUCCUUGACUCGAAUCAAAGAAGUGGAGAUCAGUGGUUGUGGAGGAGACGAUCAUGACAUUGAUUUCUUGAAACUGAUACUCAAAUGUGCGCCAAGGCUCAAAAAAAUGAUUGUGAAGCUGUCAGAUGGCGGGGCCUCAUCAAGUGACGAUGGAUGCACAAACAUAUACAACAUUUUCAAGGCUUAUUCUUCCGUGGAACUCUGUUUAUCUUAGCUCUGGUGAGUAUGUUGUACACGCCUAAUUAGCAUGCUUUGUACUCCCUCCGUUCCUAAAUAUUUGUUUUUUUAGAGAUUUUAAAUGACUACCACAUACGGAUGUAUAUAGACAUAUUUUAAAGUGUAGAUUCACUAAUUUUGCUCCGUAUGUAGUCACUUGUCGAAAUCACUAGAAAGACAAAUAUUUAGGAACGGAGGGAGUAGAUGCAACAAGGACAUAACUACUAAUCCUUGUAAAGUUUCAUACUAAAGUCAAGUCGUCAGCUUUUUCAUGUUGUGCAAACUCUCUAGUGUGGUUCAAAUGUGGCAUUGAUAGGCCAACUAUCUGAUGCAUACGCAUCCCGGUUAUUAGCUAAAUAUGCUUAACAGUGAAUUUGUAUGGGCAAACCCUCAUAUCUGUAUCAAAUAGGAGCUUAAUGGUGUAGUGGGUGAUAAACAGUUUGAAUGUUUUUAUGCAAGCUUACUUACCUAAGUUGCCCUUUUUAUGCAGUUUUUAUCAAAAAAAUUCCUGACUAUGCCCUUGUAUUUUGCAUCUGUAUCCAGUGCGUAGCAAAAAGAUAGUUUCUAGUUUAUGUAAAGUUAGUUGUCCCAUCUGAAUUACACUGUCAUAAAGAUAGUUUCUAGGUUAAAUUAUGUUCGAGGAGUACUUUGUUUUUUUUCUCUGCCUUUACUAUGUAUUACGUUUUAUCUUCCAACGGCAACAAAUUUACUCAUACAAUGACUAUACAUUUGCAGCACAUUACGAUGCUUACCAGAGUUUUUCAAUUUGCAAUCUCUGCAGGGUUAAUGCUCAGCAGCCAAAACUCCCCCUCAGCAUGAUUGCCAUGGUUAUGCCUGGAUCCGCGGUGCUCAUCGACAUGAUUAUCCUUUCUAAGAACAACCAACUCUGUUACCUGGUCUUAAAAUUUUGCUUUGUUGCUUCAUCCGAUUAUCUUAGGUGUUGUUUUUCAGUGUGUGGUAGCUUUAUAUAUGGCUGUAAGUGAUGCACUCGUAGAUAACUCCUGAAUGGUUCCCGGGCCAUUCAGGCAUUCAGCUAUCAAAGUUAAUGCACUAAACCUGUGUCAGUCAUGCACUCCAAAGCUAAUGACAAGUUAAGCCUAUGGUUUCAAUUGCUUGUCGCUGUUUCAUUUUGACGAGGCACUGUGUGUUUUCACAAAAAAUAGAUUGUGCAGCAGUAGAUGUUCACUCUGCAGCUCAUUACUUAUAUAUAUAUGAACAAAAUUAGAUUUCUGAUUUGCUCACCCUCUGAACUUGAGAGUUGCUUUCGGUUCCCUCUGUUUCUUCAACUACUGCAAUCGAGCCGAUGGAUCACAAGUCUCGGUCUUACAAUCAGAAAUCAAUCAGAUGUGCCUUCCCGUCUCCGAUGGCCGGCUAGUCCUCCCUCCUUCUGUCCUUGAUCCUCCGGCCUCUCCCUUGUCUGCUCUCCUUUUUCAGCCACCGGCCGCAACAAU
rnacentral:lncRNA from 1 species